rnacentral:rRNA from 1 species
UACGAAGGGUGCAAGCGUUGUUCGGAUUUAUUGGGCGUAAAGCGCGCGCAGGCGGGUUCGUAAGUCAGGUGUGAAAUCUCGGGGCUCAACUCCGAAACUGCGCCUGAAACUGUGAACCUAGAAUCUCGGAGGGGGAAGGAGAAUUUCGCAUGUAGGGGUAAAAUCCGUAGAGAUGCGAAGGAAUAUCAGAGGCGAAGGCGCCUUCCUGGACGAGUAUUGACGCUGAGGCGCGAAAGCGUGGGGAGCAAACAGG